GGAAAUGGUGUUGAGAAACUGCAACACUGAAAGAACGUGACUGUGAUUGCAAUGAGAGCAGAAAACACAGAAAACGGAAGCUUUACAACACUCAUGAAAACAAACAUAAGCAAAUAUGCUGUGGGCAAUGCUGGAUGGCCAGCAUUAUUUCCAGCACAACAGUGUCCUGAAAUGCAGAGCUGCACUUUUGCCUAAAGGAGUGAUUGGCAACUAUUUAUUCACUUAUAUGGAAGAAAAGAAGGAGUACAGUCAGAGACAUCGCUGCAAAGGGGCUAAAAUGACUCCCUGCCCUCGGUGACCUCAGCCUCCAAGAAUCAAGCCUCCUCCUAUCUGCAUAGACCAUAGUGGUAUCUGUUUCUUGGUCACACUCGAGCAUCACACAGAAUGCACCAACAUUUUAUUUUGCCUAGCAACCUCUCCCCCAAAACUGGCAAAUCAAUUGGACAUCUCUAAAGAAAGUUAGAAAGCAAAAAGUGGAGACAAUUUUCUAAAGCUUAUUAGAGGCAUAUACAGACAAGCCACUGUUGCUAUAGAUGCUUAAUCACUGUUGCUAAGCAAUCAGAAGAAGGAAUGCUGACCACCCCACCUGGGACUCGGGACGCAAGCCUCCUAGAGCAGCAGGAAAAAAGAAGAAGAAACUCCUUGUGGUUGCUACUAGCCUGAUGCUGGAUGGAGAUGAAUAGUCUGCAGGUAUUCUGGGAUGGUACAGAGCAUAGCAGACAAGACGGCAACUUGCCAAAGACAAGUGGAGUGGGACAUAAGCAUCCCAGAAUCAUCUUUUGAAACUGAUUCAUGAGGAAGGAAGGAAGCCAUUGUAAUACAAUGCCUCCCAAUCCUGUCCUAGCUGGAUAGUCCAGGAGGAUACCAUAGUGUAAUGGCAUGGACUGCAGCCUACCUUGUGAGCAGGAAGAGAAGCAAAGAAACCAGCCAAGCCAACACCUCUUUCUUCUCAACUUCACCAUUGCUCCCCAUGUGACUAUCCUUAUUUUGUUCUGGCUCCCUCCGCUAACCAGCCCUUUAUCCUUCUGGAUUUGAACUGGCCCAACCUACUUCCAAUACUGGGUAGAGUGGUAUGGCACUUAGGCAUGGGCUGAAUUACAAGGCCUCAGACAAAACAAUAGAUUAUGCUUUUACUGCAGGACUUGGUAGUGCAACAAGUUAAAACAGUUUUCGAGAAAAACUUUUUUGACAAAAGCUAAUUUUACAGUUUAAAUGAGAGCAAAUAAAACAAAUAAUAAAGAUAUCCAACAAUACCUGUUCUAGUCUGUUUCCACAACCAGACCAACAAUCUUUCACAUCCUUCUGGGUCCCUUUGGGGUCCUCUCCUGAUUUCUUCCUCACGCAGUUCUUAAGUUGGAGUUCUUUAAGUUUCUGACUCCACAACCUUCUAACUAACCUAUUUUCUAACUUGGCUUAUAUACAAUAUUUUCACUCUCCCUCACAAUCUUUUAGCCAAUGAGAAGGAGAGUAGUGUCUUGGUUAAAUUUCUAUUUCCCCUUAAUUGCCAGAUUUCUAUGAUGAACUUUUGACCCUCCUCUGUACAACAUCCCACUAUAAAAAACUUCAUUAGCAAAACAUCCACACUUAAACGUUUAACUUUCCUGUGAACUUUUGACUCACCUAUGCAAGCAAAAAGCAACUAUUUUACAACCAAAAAUCAAACACCAGAUAGCUGAAAGUCCUAUUAUGCCACACAUGCUCAAUAGUACUGAAUGGCAUUUACAAAUUCAGAAGAAUUAACAGGCUUGCAAUUCCCUUGUUCAUCUCUUGGAAUCCAUCAUCCAGAAGGAUGACUAAAGUAACUAGAUUAAUAUGUAUCUAUAUAAUCACCAUAUACCUUGAGCUGAGUCUCCAGCAUGUAUUCAAGGACCAUGACUAGAUAUAAUAAAUGUGAUCCAGGUUGAUCAUUGUUCAGUUAGGUUAAGUGAUAGACUGUUUACAUAGAGACUAACCAUGGCUUCCCACUGGGACUGUACUCUCUCAAGUCCAUGUUUAUUCCUCAGCCCUUAUCUGGCUAUUUUAAUGAUCCAGGACAGUCAAGAUUCGGCACACAUGUGGUAAGGCAUCUAUAACAUCACAGGGUGCUACCCCUGUGCCAGGGUGACUGCCAAUUCAUUGGUUAGAGGCAGUUAGUUCAUGAAUCCCAAUUAGGCCAUUAAGAACACCAAGUGGUAACAGUCUAGUCGCGUUUAUUGCUGAGUACGCAUAUAGAAGUAAGCAUAAAAUAUCUCACAUUCCUUGACAGCAGUGUUUAGGAGAUCCCCUGGGGGCAGCUGGUUGCCACUCUAUCAGUCACAGCCUGGGCAGAGCUGUAGCUGUGCAGGGUGAUCUCUCUCCUUCUCUCUGAUCACACCUGGAGGUCUCCACCACUAUGCUUCUCUGCUGGUCUGAUCCCUGCUCUCUCCGAUCUAUAUUUCUGUUUCUCCCCAGCUGUCUCUUCCUCCCUGUCUAACAGGCUGCUAGAUAUAGUCUACCCUCCUUUAAGGGAGUCAGCAGACAUGUGCCUGCUAGACUUCUGCUAGCCUCAUGCACAGUAGACAUGCCCAGGCUCCUGUUAAAGAGUUCACAGCUUUCUACUGCACCUACAGCUUUUUCUCCACUUAACUACAUCCAUCGCCUUAUACAGCAUGGAUGGACUUAAAUAUUACAAGAUCCCCCAUAGACCCUAAAUAUAGCAUUUGAGAGGUAAGCUGUGAAAUGUCACCUACACCUCCUUGUCUGUACAACGCUCUUUGGCAAUACAGCAUCUUUAUACUGUUUACAUCUACAGACUGCACAAGUGGAAAAGUACCCUUAUGAAAUUGACAAGAAAGAACUCCAGAAGCAACUACAACAGAUUCCUUUAUAAGAAUGUCAGAGAAGAACCAAGCAAUAUUAUCUUCAAAAUGCCUUGCCAAAUGGUCACAGUAGGCCUCACUUAACCAUGGCUAUGAGAUACAUAACAUCAGUGCACUAACAUUAACCAUAAAUAAGACCAAUCAAGGUCUCUUGUCAUCAAGAUUUCUUAACCAAUUUCAACCCUUGAUUUCAAAUCCUGGUAAAGUCAUGAAACCAGUUGGCCUUGGCUAUAUUGAAAGCUGAUGCAGCCAUGUCUUUUAACUGCUGUUAAGACAACAGCAGGGAAUUCACUCCUGUAAGGGAACACACAAUCCUUGGUCUCUCUUCCAGUCUCUUAAUGAUGGUUUGCAGAGAGCCAGUGGUUCCAUGUGAUAGAGAAGCAACACAAAUGUGAAUGUAGACUCUGCAGGAGCCAUUGCAAAACAAACAUUGUGAAGGGAAACAUGACCUGCAAUUUGUUAGGAAAGGCAAAUAUGUUGCACCAUAUCAGUGUUGGUGUAUUCUUUUUUCUGUAAUCGCAUUUGUCUGGAAAUAUA